rnacentral:rRNA from 1 species
UACGAAGGGUGCAAGCGUUAAUCGGAAUUACUGGGCGUAAAGCGUGCGCAGGCGGUUUGUUAAGUCUGUUGUGAAAUCCCCGAGCUCAACUUGGGAAUUGCAAUGGAUACUGGCAGGCUAGAGUAUGGUAGAGGAAGGUGGAAUUCCCGGUGUAGCAGUGAAAUGCGUAGAGAUCGGGAGGAACACCGGUGGCGAAGGCGGAUCUCUGGGCCGAUACUGACGCUGAGGAGCGAAAGCGUGGGGAGCGAACAGG